CUUUUAGUAGAGAAGUAACCUUCUUUACACCACCAUAAUAGCUAAAUACUCUACAGUUAUGCAUGGAACGAGUCAAAAUUGUCAAGCACUCCAAAACAUGUAGCCGUUCAGUACUUAAUCCCAGAUCUCCUGGUUGCUCUGAAUAGUUCGGAGAAGAUUCUGGACUCCACUUACUUUCUGCAAUAGUUGAUGUUAUUAUAGACAUCUCCUGAAUCAGGAUAAGAAUGACCUCAGAAGGAUGCCCGUGAGAGCAUCCUACAACUGUUUCAUCAGAUCCUUGUUCUUGAUCAACCAAAUGAAUAUUAUGGUAUGGUCCCCAAUCUCUGAAUGUUUGUACAAAUUGUAAGACAAAAAUUUGCAGGGAUUUCUCCUUUUCAGCCUGUAAAUGAUUACAAAGUGACCGAGCGGAUGUGAUCGAGUACCUGAAGACGACGCGGGGAGAGGGAGCGACGUCCUGGUCGGCACCAUGGAAGGAGCCCUCGCGGACGCCGAAGGAGGAGGAGGGCACCGCGGGCGGCGCGGGCGGCGGCGCCGGCGCCUUGCGGAGGAGAUCGGCGACGCCCCGCACGAUGUUCAUGGCCUCCGACCACCACGCCACGCGCGCCUAGCCAC
rnacentral:sRNA from 1 species